rnacentral:lncRNA from 1 species
AUGCUGGUGGUUCAAGUUGGGUCAUUAGUCCCUUUUAGUCAACAGUGUCAUGGGGGGGGGGGGGGGGGGGGGGGUAGGAGAUGCAGUUUGAAGAGUGAUCUUUGUUCACAUCCCCCAGGAGGCUGUCAAGAUAACCAAGGCAAUUUUCUCUUGUAUCUUCGAAGAGUGAAAAUCAGCCUGGAGAAAAUCGGUACGAUGCUGCGGUGGGAGAAAUUCAGCGCGCUUAGCUGUCCCACUCCUCUGGCUGCUACUGUGUUAAGGACCUGGUGCCAUCUGAGAGUCUGUGCCAUUUGCAUCAUCUGGAGGGAGAGGAGAACCGGGGGCACUGCAGCUGGGUAGAGCAUUCCUAAGUGAUGGAGGAUUUAAAUAAUCUGUUUUCCACCAAAGAAGACAUACAGAUGGCCAAUAGAUACACGAAAAGAUGCUCAACAUCACUCAUCAGGGAAAAGCAAGUCAAAACUACAAUGAGAUACCACUUCACACUUGUCAGGAUGGCUAAAAUCAAAAACACAAGAAACAAGUGUUGGUGAGGAUGUGGAGAAAAAGGAGCUGUUGUUGCACUAUUGGUCAGACUGCUAGUUGGUAUAGCUACUGUGGAAAACAGUGUGGAGGUUUCUCAAAAAAAUUAAAAAUAGAACUACUUUAUGAUCCAGGAAUCCCAGUGCUGGGUAUUUACCCAAAGAAUACAAAAACAGUAAAUCAAAGGGAUACAUGCAACCGAUGUUUAGAGAAACGUUAAUUACAAAAGCCAGGAUCUGGAAGCAGCCCAAGUAUCCACCAAUAGAUGUAUAGGUAAAGAGGUGGUGUGUAUCUACAAUGGACUAUUAGUUAGCCAUAAAAAAAGAAUGAAAUCUUGCCAUUUGCCAUUUGCAACAACAUGGUUGGAUCUGGAGAGCAUAGUGUUAAAUGAAAUAAGUCAGUCAGAGAAAGACAAAUACCAUGAUUUCAGUCAUAUGUGGAAAUUAAGAAAUAAAACAAAUGAACAAAGAAAAAAAAAAGAGACAAAAAACCAGACACUUACCUAUAGAGAACGAACUAAUGGUUACCAGAGGAGGGGUGGGGGGAUGGGUGAAAUAGAUGAAGGAGAGUAAGAUAUACUUACCAUGAUAAGCACUGAGUAAUGUAUAGAAUUGUUGAAUCACUAUGCUGUAUGCCUAAAACUAAUAUAAUGCUGUAUGUUAACUAUACUGGAAUUAAAAAUUUAAAAAAAUUAAUGAUAAAAAAUAUUCUCUUUUCCAAAUGAUUGGGCAAUCAUAAAAUAGUCUGUUAAAACAGCUGAUUUUUUUUCUUUUUUAAAGAUUUUAUUUAUUCAUGAGAGAGAGAGAGAGAGAGAGAGAGAGAGAGAGAGAGGCAGAGACACAGGCAGAGGGAGAAGCAGUCUCCAUGCAGGGAGCCCGAUGUGGGACUCGAUCCCGGGUCUCCAGGAUCUGCCCUGGGCUGAAGGCAGCGCUAAACCACUGAGCCACCUGGGCUGCCCAGCUGCUUUUUCAUAUACCAAAUUCUUAUAUAUGUUCUGACCUCUGUAUGGACUUUUCUAUUCUAUUCCAUUGGUUUACCUGUAUAGUACGGUGAGCAAGUUUUUAAUAUCUGGGGAAGGAGUAGGAUUUUUAAUAUCUAGGGUAGGAGUUACUACUGCCCUUAACUUAUCAUUAUGAUAUUUCUUUUCAACUUUGAGAUACUCGUAGGUCCAACUUUUUGGUAAUUUAAAAAAUGAUUCAGCAGAACAACUUGUACUUUUUAUGUCUCGAAGGGUGAUAAGAUUGGUAAAGACUUGGGAAAACAUGUAGGCAUUACCUAACAUUUUCUGGAAAGAAGACAAAGAUUAUUGGUACUUUGGAAGUUUCUUUAAAACAUGACAGUAUCGCAUAUAGAUAAUAACAUCAAGGGCAAUGUGAUUUUAGAAAAACAAAGCAAAGGAAACAUUUACGUUGAACAGGUGCUUUCUGUAUGCAAUUUGGAAGUUGAGAUUAACAGUUCUAAAAACAUUAGCAAAUAGGAAAUAGGGUUGUACAGUAAUAAGAAAAAAUAAUGCCUCCAUUCCCAUUCUGCAUGAACGAUAAGCAAUUAGUUUGCUUUCUGAGACUGAUGAUGUGACAGGAACCUGAGAGAAGCAGGCCCUUUGGUUUUCUAACUGAAGCAGUCAGUCAGAAAGGGUGUUUUGCCUGACAGUUGAUUAGGGGUUAAAUGAACUGAAAAUAUUGGUAAUUUUUUCUGCUUUUCCAUUUAUUGUAACAGCGAUUAUCUGCAUUUUUUCUUCUGCCAGUUCUAAAGGCUAGAUUUAAAUAAUUAUCCAUGUGAGAGAAAAUGAUUUUGAAUGGCAAAAGGGCAAUGAGGGUUUGAAACCACCAGCUCUUUGAAGGAUAAGAUUCUCAUCUGAAAAUUGGCUAACGUGGUUGAUGAGUCUUGAAAAAUGCCUUAAAAACCUGCUGGAACUAAAUAAUGCAGUUCUGAAAAAAUAAUAUUGAAUACGUGGUUAUCUAGCUUAUUCUUAAUUAUUCAACCUAACAUUGCUAAUUCUUUCUGAGUCAAUUAGUUAUAUAUUUAUUGUCCAGUACUUAUUGAGUACCUACCGUAUGUCAGGCACUGUUUAAGGUGCCAGAGAUACAGAAAGGAACAAGCAGGUGAAAGGCUUAGUCCUUAUGGAAAUGUUUCUUUGAGAAGAAACACCUAGUAGACAUAAGCCAUUUAGUGCUAGAUGGCAUUUUUUUAUGGAGAAAAAUAAAGCAGUGUAGGGUGAUAGAGGGUGAUUACUUGGAGAUGCUGCAAGUUGAAGUUUAGGUGAGGUUCUAAGGAAAAUGAAGAAAUAAGAUCUAGGUUCCUUGGAGAAUGUUGAAGUAGAGUGAAGGAAAAACAGGUACACGAGGUGCAAAGGCCCUGAGAUAGGAGCAUAUUUGGCAUGUCAUGAUCAGCAAGGAGGCCAAGUAUGAAUGAAUGGCAUAAGUUGAGGAGAGAGGUAAUGAGGUCAAAGUGGCAGCUGGAGGCCAGACCAUAGAGGGCCUCAUAGAACGUGGUAAGAAUUCAGCCUUUCUUUUGAGUGGUAUAGAGAACCACUGGAGAAUUUUAAGAUGAGGAAUGACAUGAUUUAUAUAUUUUAAUGUGAUCACUUUGGCUGCUCUAUUAAAAACAAACCAAAAGGGAGAAGGAUCAAAGUAUAAAGACCAGAUACGAAGCUGUUGAAUUAACCGUAGUGAAAGACAGUGGUGGUUUGGACCAGGCUGGGGAACUGUUGAGAAUAAUUAGAUACUCGUAUUUCAAAGGUAGAGCUAACUAGUAUAUUGGACUGAU